rnacentral:rRNA from 1 species
UCCGGUGACCAUAGCGAGGGGGUCACACCCGUUCCCAUCCCGAACACGGCCGUUAAGCCCCUCAGCGGCGAUGGUACUACACAUUAUCAUGUGUGGGAGAGUAGCACGUUGCCGGAU